ensembl:lncRNA
AGAAAAUCUGCGCUGCGCACAAAAAAAAUACAACCUAAAUUGUAUAUAAAAUAAACACAUAACAAUUCAUUCUGUGCUAUUUUUCAAUGUGAGUCAGUGAGUGACCGGUGACUGGCUGCUGCAGCCAAUGAUGCGAUUCACAUACGUAUUUACCAUAGACUGUAUAUAAUGGUAUUUACGCAGCUAAUCAAUGUCAUGCAUCCUUAUGUGCAGCCACCGUUGUUCUCAUAGAUAUGAAUGAGUAGAUAGGACACGCCCCUUUGAGCUGCGUGCUACUGCGAGGCUAAGCUAAUGGGGCAAAGGUUCAGUGCAUUCUGUUGAUGUAAACGGUGUGAAAACGGAAACAAGAGGUAUGCCGGCUCACUGUGCUGCAUACAAUUACACACUGCGUCGUACGAUUGACACAAGGAAACUUGGAAUGACUUUUCAUAGGUUUCCCAGAGACUAUGGGUUGAGGAGGAAUUGGAAGUUUGUCGGCUUAGACCUGGUGUCAUUCCAUCAGUGUUUAACUUCCCGGCUCAUCUUGGAAGAGUACGUGCCAGAAAGACCACGACCAAGCAGCCUUGAGAUCUUAGACAGCGUCUCCUUCUGGUGGGUGUCAACGGUGUUCAUGGUCAGGUCCCUCUCUAUCUCCCCACACAUCCACCAACCACUGGAACACAUCUCCAAAGUUCUGCCGGGCCAGCUCAGCUUCCCCUCAGAAGAAGUGCCGCCACCUGCCAGAUGAAGGAGUCUUUUGAGAGGCAGCUGGCAUCAUGAUUGGACUGUACUUUGGUCUGUUCCAAUCCAGCUUCAGCUCCAGAGACGGCAGGUGGGACGAGUCAACGGAGGCCGGGUGGACGAAGGCAUGCAGCUGAGUACAAUCCAGAAAACAACAAAUAAGUCAAAGGAAAGAGACAUACAUUGUAGAAUUGUAGUAAUUGUGGGCUGACUGAUUUACUGAUUAUCAGUAUUUUAUUUUUUACUGAUUUACGGUAAUAAAUACAUUUAAAAAUGGC